GAUGAACGCUGGCGGCGUGCCUAAUACAUGCAAGUAGAACGCUGAAGGAGGAGCUUGCUCUUCUGGAUGAGUUGCGAACGGGUGAGUAACGCGUAGGUAACCUGCCUGGUAGCGGGGGAUAACUAUUGGAAACGAUAGCUAAUACCGCAUGACAACAGUUAUUGCAUGAUAACUGUUUAAAAGGGGCAACUGCUCCACUACCAGAUGGACCUGCGUUGUAUUAGCUAGUUGGUGAGGUAACGGCUCACCAAGGCGACGAUACAUAGCCGACCUGAGAGGGUGCUCGGCCUCGCUGGGCUUGAGACACGGCCCAGAAUACUACGAGAGGCAGCAGUCGGGAAUCCUCAGCAAUGGCAGGAAGUCUGAACGAGCAACGCCGCGUGAGUGCAGAAUGCUGUCAGAUCGUAAAGCUCUGUUGUAAGAGAAGAACGAGUGUGAGAGUGGCAAGUUCACACUGUGACGGUAUCUUAACAGAAAGCGACGGCUAACUACGUG
rnacentral:rRNA from 1 species